rnacentral:rRNA from 1 species
GAUGAACGCUGGCGGCGUGCCUAAUACAUGCAAGUCGAGCGAACAGACGAGGAGCUUGCUCCUCUGACGUUAGCGGCGGACGGGUGAGUAACACGUGGAUAACCUACCUAUAAGACUGGGAUAACUUCGGGAAACCGGAGCUAAUACCGGAUAAUAUAUUGAACCGCAUGGUUCAAUAGUGAAAGACGGUUUUGCUGUCACUUAUAGAUGGAUCCGCGCCGCAUUAGCUAGUUGGUAAGGCAACGGCUUACCAAGGCAACGAUGCGUAGCCGACCUGAGAGGGUGAUCGGCCACACUGGAACUGAGACACGGUCCAGACUCCUACGGGAGGCAGCAGUAGGGAAUCUUCCGCAAUGGGCGAAAGCCUGACGGAGCAACGCCGCGUGAGUGAUGAAGGUCUUCGGAUCGUAAAACUCUGUUAUUAGGGAAGAAAAAAUGUGUAAGUAACUAUGCACGUCUUGACGGUACCUAAUCAGAAAGCCACGGCUAACUACGUG